UCCACGUGACUAACAGCGAUCUGCCUCGCGUUGUAUGGAAGACUAGUGAUUUUGUUGUUUGAUAAUAUAUAUAACAAUAAAUCACUAAUCUCCCUACAAAGCGCUGGCACCCUCUUCGGA
rnacentral:pre_miRNA from 1 species